rnacentral:lncRNA from 1 species
AUGUCAUGGUUCCCUUGCCCUCUUUUGCUGGCCUGCUUUUUUCUCUUUUGUCUCCUCUUUCGGUGUAUGCCUGUGUUGUUGUCCGUGUGCUUGUCUUUUUCAGGGGAUGCUCCUCCACCUUUUGAUCCUUCAGUCACUUGUCCACAAUCAGCUGAUUACUCGCCUGUUCCUCAUGAGGUCUUCAUGCUGGUUUCUAAACAACCAGAUCAUUGCAUCACCAAGACGUUUCAGCGUUACGGAUCUCCCCAACCUUCUGUGACAGUGUCUGAGUGUGCCUUCAGACAACCUUCAGUACCUCUGCCCCGUCUCCUGGACCCAACAGUGUUUAUUCUGUAUUCAUAACUAUCUGCAAAUAAACCUGUAAAACUUUACCACAGUGUCUCAUCAUCAUUCUGUUGUUUUCAUAACAGUACACUGUAGAAAUAAUGGACUGUGUAUUAGGUAUUGAGGUCAUAGUGAAUGUAGUUUAUUAGUAUGCGUCGUAGUAUGAUUUUGCUGGUAAUAGAAUGUAAGAUUACAAAAUAGAAAAUAGUCCUGGGAUGGGAACAAAGAACUGGGGUGCAGGGAAGUGGGGCAAUUAACUCUCACCCCCAAGACAGUAGCAAGAUUUACUGAGGGUGAGGGCCAAUGGACAUUACCUUAAAAGGAGAUGGGGGUCAGGGUGUCAGCACCCCUAGCCACUUUACCAGUGUUUUUCCAUUGUGGAGGGUUUACUGUAGGAAUUGGAGACCAGAGACUAUAACUGUAACUGUUGUGUGAAACUCUUCAGAUCAGCCUUUAGAGUAGAACUGCACAGGAUGCAGUGUGCUGAUCUCCAGAUGCAUCUGUAAGGAAAAUGGGUAAUAAAAGUAUUGUGUGAAAUUUGGAAACAUCUCUGCGUGAUCUCUACCAAGACAAAAAGAAUCGGAGAGACCGACGUUGUCGCAACAACACUUAUGUAGAUAUUCCACUAAAUCUCAUUUGUGAUUUAUGAUGAGUGUUACCAUUAAUUAUUUAUAUUUCUUUACGCUUCUGAUUAAUUUAGUAAAACAUCAAAAAGAUUUUCACUGUUGUCAGAAAAUAAGACGUUUCUAAUUCUCUACAAACUUAUGAGCUGUUGUCUAGAUUGCAAUGAUAGUAUAUGUUUAUUUUUUUUAUAGCAGAUGAAAUAGAAGUAUCAGGACAGGGUAUGAAGUUAUGAGCUGUGAUGCUGCAGAGAAAGUUGUUCACUCUGGUGAGGUCUAAUGAGUCUAAUGGGAGGCUGAGCCUUCAUCCCCAACCAGUUACUCAUCCUUGAGCCUCAUUCUGCCGAAGGUUUCUUAAAAUGGAGUUUUUCUGUCCCAC